UACGUAGGGGGCUAGCGUUGUCCGGAUUUAUUGGGCGUAAAGAGCGCGUAGGCGGCCAGAUAAGUCCGGUGUGAAAGUCAGAGGCUCAACCUUUGAAUGCCGCUGGAAACUGUCUGGCUAGAGUCCGGAAGGGGCGAGUGGAAUUCCUGGUGUAGCGGUGAAAUGCGCAGAUAUCAGGAGGAACACCAAUGGCGAAGGCAGCUCGCUGGAACGGUACUGACGCUGAGGCGCGAAAGCGUGGGGAGCGAACAGG
rnacentral:rRNA from 1 species